rnacentral:rRNA from 1 species
AGCGAACGUUUGCGGCGGGCUUAACACAUGCAAGUCGAACGCGAAAGCCGCAAGGCGAGUAAAGUGGCGGACGGGCGAGUAACACGUAAUCAAGCUACCUGCGAGACGGGGAUAACUUCGGGAAACCGAAGCUAAGACCCGAUGGUCUUCUAGGAACGCAUGUUCCAUGAAGUAAAUGGGCGGGAUCCUCCGGGAUCGCCUGCUCGCAGAGGUGAUUGCGGCCCAUCAGCUAGUUGGUAGGGUAAUGGCCUACCAAGGCAACGACGGGUAGCCGGCCUUAGAGGGUGGUCGGCCGCACUGGGACUGAGACACUGCCCAGACUCCUACGGGAGGCUGCAGUCGAGAAUCUUCCGCAAUGGGCGAAAGCCUGACGGAGCGACGCCGCGUGGAGGAUGAAGGCC